rnacentral:rRNA from 1 species
CCUACGGGAGGCAGCAGUGGGGAAUCUUGCACAAUGGAGGAAACUCUGAUGCAGCGAUGCCGCGUGAGUGAAGAAGGCCUUUGGGUUGUAAAGCUCUUUUGUAGGGGAAGAUAAUGACUGUACCCUAAGAAUAAGGUCCGGCUAACUUCGUGCCAGCAGCCGCGGUAAUACGAAGGGACCUAGCGUAGUUCGGAAUUACUGGGCGUAAUGCGCGCGUAGGCCGUUGAGUUAGUUAAUUGUGAAAUCCCAAAGCUUAACUUUGGAACUGCAAUUAAAACUGCUCGACUAGAGUUUGAUAGAGGAAAGCGGAAUACAUAGUGUAGAGGUGAAAUUCGUAGAUAUUAUGUAGAACACCAGUUGCGAAGGCGGCUUUCUGGAUCAACACUGACGCUGAGGCGCGAAAGUAUGGGUAGCAAAGAGGAUUAGAUACCCUCGUAGUCCAUACCAUAAACGAUGAUUGCUAGAUGUUGGAAAUUUAUUUUCAGUAUCGCAGCUAACGCAUUAAGCAAUCCGCCUGGGGAUACGACCGCAAGGUUAAAACUCAAAGGAAUUGACGGCNGAGACGNGCGAGCGACGACGAGGAGAG